rnacentral:rRNA from 1 species
GGGGAAUAUUGGACAAUGGGCGAAAGCCUGAUCCAGCCAUGCCGCGUGAGUGAUGAAGGCCCUAGGGUUGUAAAGCUCUUUCAGUGGGGAAGAUAAUGACGGUACCCACAGAAGAAGCCCCGGCUAACUUCGUGCCAGCAGCCGCGGUAAUACGAAGGGGGCUAGCGUUGUUCGGAAUUACUGGGCGUAAAGCGCACGUAGGCGGAUCUUUAAGUCAGGGGUGAAAUCCCGGGGCUCAACCCCGGAACAGCCUCUGAUACUGGGGAUCUCGAGUCCGAGAGAGGUGAGUGGAAUUCCGAGUGUAGAGGUGAAAUUCGUAGAUAUUCGGAGGAACACCAGUGGCGAAGGCGGCUCACUGGCUCGGUACUGACGCUGAGGUGCGAAAGCGUGGGGAGCAAAC